rnacentral:rRNA from 1 species
UACGUAGGGGGGCUAGCGUUGUCCGGAAUCAUUGGGCGUAAAGCGCGUGUAGGCGGUCCGGUAAGUCCGCUGUGAAAGUCGGGGGGCUCAACCCUCGAAUGCCGGUGGAUACUGUCGGGCUAGAGUGCGGAAGAGGCGAGUGGAAUUCCUGGUGUAGCGGUGAAAUGCGCAGAUAUCAGGAGGAACACCGAUGGCGAAGGCAGGUCUCUGGGCAUUAACUGACGCUGAGGAGCGAAAGCAUGGGGAGCGAACAGG